rnacentral:misc_RNA from 1 species
AAUUCUCAACCUUGAACCAGUUUUGCGACUGGGUCAAGGCUUGGAUGUGAGGGCUUUGCUGGCUUCCUUUAGUGGAUGGUCUGCUCCCUUUAAAUGCAUUAGUGGGAUCCUUUGUGGACGGUCACUUGGUGUGAUAAUUAUCUACGCCUUGUUGACUGUGAAGCAAAACUUAUGGGACCCUGCUUAUAACCGUCCUUCGGGACAAUUUAUUGACC